UACGAAGGGGGCUAGCGUUGCUCGGAAUCACUGGGCGUAAAGCGCACGUAGGCGGCUUUUUAAGUCAGGGGUGAAAUCCUGGAGCUCAACUCCAGAACUGCCUUUGAUACUGAGAAGCUUGAGUCCGGGAGAGGUGAGUGAACUGCGAGUGUAGAGGUGAAAUUCGUAGAUAUUCGCAAGAACACCAGUGGCGAAGGCGGCUCACUGGCCCGGUACUGACGCUGAGGUGCGAAAGCGUGGGGAGCAAACAGG
rnacentral:rRNA from 1 species